AGCUUGCUCUCUGAUUCAGCGGCGGACGGGUGAGUAAUGCCUAGGAAUCUGCCUGAUAGUGGGGGACAACGUUUCGAAAGGAACGCUAAUACCGCAUACGUCCUACGGGAGAAAGCAGGGGACCUUCGGGCCUUGCGCUAUCAGAUGAGCCUAGGUCGGAUUAGCUAGUUGGUGAGGUAACGGCUCACCAAGGCGACGAUCCGUAACUGGUCUGAGAGGAUGAUCAGUCACACUGGAACUGAGACACGGUCCAGACUCCUACGGGAGGCAGCAGUGGGGAAUAUUGGACAAUGGGCGAAAGCCUGAUCCAGCCAUGCCGCGUGUGUGAAGAAGGUCUUCGGAUUGUAAAGCACUUUAAGUUGGGAGGAAGGGCAUUAACCUAAUACGUUAGUGUUUUGACGUUACCGACAGAAUAAG
rnacentral:rRNA from 1 species